GACGGGGGGGGCAAGUGUUCUUCGGAAUGACUGGGCGUAAAGGGCACGUAGGCGGUGAAUCGGGUUGAAAGUGAAAGUCGCCAAAAAAGUGGCGGGAAUGCUCUCGAAAACCAAUUCACUUGAGUGAGACAGAGGAGAGUGGAAUUUCGUGUGUAGGGGUGAAAUCCGUAAAUAUACGAAGGAACGCCAAAAGCGAAGGACAGCUCGUCUGGGUCCCUACCGACGCU
rnacentral:rRNA from 1 species